UGAACGCUGGCGGCGUGCCUAAUACAUGCAAGUCGAACGCACAGCGAAAGGUGCUUGCACCUUUCAAGUGAGUGGCGAACGGGUGAGUAACACGUGGAUAACCUACCUCAAGGUUGGGGAUAACAUUUGGAAACAGAUGCUAAUACCGAAUAAAACUUAGUAUCGCAUGAUACCAGGUUAAAAGGCGCUACGGCGUCACCUAGAGAUGGAUCCGCGGUGCACUUAGUUAGUUGGUGGGGCAAAGGCUUACCAAGACAAUGAUGCAUAGCCGAGUUGAGAGACUGAUCGGCCACAUUGGGACUGAGACACGGCCCAAACUCCUACGGGAGGCUGCAGUAGGGAAUCUUCCACAAUGGGCGAAAGCCUGAUGGAGCAACGCCGCGUGUGUGAUGAAGGCUUUCGGGUCGUAAAGCACUGUUGUAUGGGAAGAACAGCUAGAGUAGGGAAUGACUUUAGUUUGACGGUACCAUACCAGAAAGGGACGGCUAAAUACGUG
rnacentral:rRNA from 1 species